CUGAUGAUACGGAGGCCAGGACACCACUGUGCGCCGGAAUGCGUCGGCUACCAGAGGUGAUAAUUUGGACAUCGGGUUUAGGUAAUUCACGAGAAAUUUGAUCGGCGAUUUGAUAAUGAGCGUUCAGGUCGCAGGGGAGGGCGGUAGCGGUAGUGGUUGCUUUAAGAGUUUCUUCCAUAGAAGGUGGAGAGGAACAGAAAACACGCCUCUUGAGUCGUUUGCUCUAUAUUGCAAUAGCAGAGGAGUUG
rnacentral:misc_RNA from 1 species